UACGAAGGGGGCUAGCGUUGCUCGGAAUCACUGGGCGUAAAGCGCACGUAGGCGGCUUUCUAAGUCAGGGGUGAAAUCCUGGGGCUCAACUCCAGAACUGCCUUCGAUACUGAAGAGCUCGAGUCCGGGAGAGGUGAGUGGAACUGCGAGUGUAGAGGUGAAAUUCGUAGAUAUUCGCAAGAACACCAGUGGCGAAGGCGGCUCACUGGCCCGGUACUGACGCUGAGGUGCGAAAGCGUGGGGAGCAAACAGG
rnacentral:rRNA from 1 species